UCCAUCCCCGUAUGCCGACCCAUCUCUUCUACUACCUUUCAGAUGGAGAACCAUCGUCAUGGGUGUAAACACUGAAAACAACAAUGAUGUCCCAUCUCCACUUGUGUGACUCCAUAUUAUUAUUGAUUGAUAUUAUGUAAGGUGCCUUAAUAACCAUUAAAGAAUAUAGCUUUUA